rnacentral:rRNA from 1 species
UGGGGAAUAUUGGACAAUGGGCGAAAGCCUGAUCCAGCCAUGCCGCGUGUGUGAAGAAGGUCUUCGGAUUGUAAAGCACUUUAAGUUGGGAGGAAGGGCCAUUACCUAAUACGUGAUGGUUUUGACGUUACCGACAGAAUAAGCACCGGCUAACUCUGUGCCAGCAGCCGCGGUAAUACAGAGGGUGCAGGCGUUAAUCGGAAUUACUGGGCGUAAAGCGCGCGUAGGUGGUUUGUUAAGUUGGAUGUGAAAUCCCCGGGCUCAACCUGGGAACUGCAUUCAAAACUGACUGACUAGAGUAUGGUAGAGGGUGGUGGAAUUUCCUGUGUAGCGGUGAAAUGCGUAGAUAUAGGAAGGAACACCAGUGGCGAAGGCGACCACCUGGACUGAUACUGACACUGAGGUGCGAAAGCGUGGGGAGCAAACAGGAUUAGAUACCCGAGUAGUCCCUGAGCGGGCUGGCAAGGCGCAU